AUUGAACGCUGGCGGCAUGCUUUACACAUGCAAGUCGAACGGUAACAGGUUAAGCUGACGAGUGGCGAACGGGUGAGUAAUGCAUCGGAACGUGCCCGGUCGUGGGGGAUAACGCAGCGAAAGCUGCGCUAAUACCGCAUACGAUCUAAGGAUGAAAACGGGGGACCGUAAGGCCGCGCGCGAUCGGACCGGCCGGUGUCAGAUUAGGUAGUUGGUGGGGUAAAGGCUCACCAAGCCAACGAUCUGUAGCCGGUCUGAGAGGACGACCAGCCACACUGGGACUGAGACACGGCCCAGACUCCUACGGGAGGCAGCAGUGGGGAAUUUUGGACAAUGGGCGAAAGCCUGAUCCAGCAAUGCCGCGUGUGUGAAGAAGGCCUUCGGGUUGUAAAGCACUUUUGUACGGAACGAAAAGGUUUGGCCUAAUACGCUGAACUCAUGACGGUACCGUAAGAAUAAGCACCGGCUAACUACGUGCCAGCAGCCGCCGUAA
rnacentral:rRNA from 1 species